CCUACGGGGGGCAGCAGUAAGGAAUAUUGGUCAAUGGACGCAAGUCUGAACCAGCCAUGCCGCGUGGAGGAUGAAGGUCCUCUGGAUUGUAAACUUCUUUUAUCUGGGACGAAACACUCCUAUUCUUAGGGGCCUGACGGUACCAGAUGAAUAAGCACCGGCUAACUCCGUGCCAUCAGCCGCGGUAAUACGGAGGGUGCCGGCGUUAUCCGGAUUCAAGGGGGUGGAGGGGGGCGUAGGUGGGAGUGGUGAAAUCCCCGAGCUUAACUUGGGAACUGCCGUUGAUACUAUACAUCUUGAAUAUCGUAGAGGUAAGCGGAAUAUGUCAUGUAGCGGUGAAAUGCUUAGAGAUGACAUAGAACACCAAUUGCGAAGGCAGCUUGCUAUGCGAUUAUUGACACUGAGGCACGAAAGCGUGGGUAGCAAACAGGAUUAGAUACCCUGGUAGUC
rnacentral:rRNA from 1 species